rnacentral:rRNA from 1 species
GACGAACGCUGGCGGCGUGCUUAACACAUGCAAGUCGAACGGUCAGGCCCUUCGGGGUACACGAGUGGCGAACGGGUGAGUAACACGUGGGUGAUUUGCCCUGCACUUCGGGAUAAGCCUGGGAAACUGGGUCUAAUACCGGAUAGGACCACUGCCUGCAUGGGUGGUGGUGGAAAGCUUUUGCGGUGUGGGAUGGGCCCGCGGCCUAUCAGCUUGUUGGUGGGGUGAUGGCCUACCAAGGCGACGACGGGUAGCCGGCCUGAGAGGGGGACCGGCCACACUGGGACUGAGAUACGGCCCAGACUCCUACGGGAGGCAGCAGUGGGGAAUAUUGCACAAUGGGCGCAAGCCUGAUGCAGCGACGCCGCGUGAGGGAUGACGGCCUUCGGGUUGUAAACCUCUUUCAGCACCGACGAAGCGCAAGUGACGGUAGGUGCAGAAGAAGGACCGGCCAACUACGUGCCAGCCGCCGCCGUAA